rnacentral:rRNA from 1 species
AAAGUUAAUGCAUCAUCGACUAUGUCGAAUAAAGUUCUAGGUAGAGUUAUGAUAAUGACAUUUUCUAUCUAUGUGUCUUGACCAAGUCACGUGCCAGCAGUCGCGGUAAUACGUGGAAGACUAGUGUUAUUCAUCUUUAAUAGGUUUAAAGGGUACUUAGACGGUAAAUUAAGCCCACAAAGGGUACUAAUUAUACUAGAGUUGUAUGAGGAGGGUGUAGAGAUGAAAUUCAGUCAUACCAUUAUCAGGCAACGGCGAAAGCAACCUUUAGAAAAACUGACGUUAAAGGACGAAGGCUUUGUGUCACCAACAGGAUUAGAUACCCAAGCAGUCUUAGCAGACAAUUAUGAAUGCCAUAGGUUUUUGUCUAUAAAUGAAAGUGUAAGCAUUCCACCUCAAGAGUAAUGUGGCAACGCAGAAACUGAAAUCAUUAGACCGUUUCUGAAACCAGUAGUGAAGUAUGUUGUUUAAUUAGAUGGUCCGCAAAAAACCUUACCACAAUUUGUAUAUUUACAAGAGUUGCACGGCUGUUUUUAGUUAAUGUCGUGAGAUUUUGGUUAGUUCCAUUAAAUUAACGUAAACCCUUACUUUA